AGAUUGAACGCUGGCGGCAGGCCUAACACAUGCAAGUCGAGCGGUAGAGAGGUGCUUGCAUCUCUUGAGAGCGGCGGACGGGUGAGUAAUGCCUAGGAAUCUGCCUAGUGGUGGGGGAUAACGUUCGGAAACGGACGCUAAUACCGCAUACGUCCUACGGGAGAAAGCGGGGGACCUUCGGGCCUCGCGCCAUUAGAUGAGCCUAGGUCGGAUUAGCUAGUUGGUGAGGUAAUGGCUCACCAAGGCGACGAUCCGUAACUGGUCUGAGAGGAUGAUCAGUCACACUGGAACUGAGACACGGUCCAGACUCCUACGGGAGGCAGCAGUGGGGAAUAUUGGACAAUGGGCGAAAGCCUGAUCCAGCCAUGCCGCGUGUGUGAAGAAGGUCUUCGGAUUGUAAAGCACUUUAAGUUGGAGAAGGUUGUAACCUAAUACGCUGCUAACUUUGACGUUACCGACAGAAUAAGCAACCGGCUAACUUCGUGCCAGCAGUCCG
rnacentral:rRNA from 1 species